rnacentral:siRNA from 1 species
CAUAUCCAAGGGUGAAGAGCUCU